GAAGCAGCCACCCUUUAAAGAGUGCGUAACAGCUCACUCGUUAAGAGAUCUUGCGCCGAAGAUAAUCGGGGCUAAGCAAAGUACCGAAGAUUGGGAUGGUUCCGCAUUCGUGCGGGACCGUGGUAGGAGAGCGUUCUUUAUGCGAUGAAGGUCACGGCGUGAGCCGGACUGGAGCGUAGAGAAGUGAGAAUGUUGGCACAAGUAACCGCAAGAUCCGUGAGAUCCGGAUCCGCCGAAAGCCCAAGGUUUCCUUGGCAAUGGUGAUCAACCAAGGGUUAGUCGGUCCUAAGGCAAUGGCGAAAGCCGCAGCCGAUGGACAGAUGGUUAAUAUUCCAUCACCCCCGCGUUUUUUGACGGAGCGACGGAGGAAACAAGAAAGAGCGCAUUAUUGGAUUUGCGUUUCCGCGAAUAGAAUUGUUCUCCAGGCAAAUCCGGAGAACGGCCGCAAGGCAAAAUUCAAGAGCGGGAAAACUUUCCGCUACGGCAGAAAGGAUUCUUUUGAAGAGCCUUCCCAGAAAACCUUCUAAAAUUAAAAGCGCGGGGACCGUACCGCAAACCGACACAGGUGGGCAGGUCGAGAAGACCAAGGCGAACGGGUGAGUCCUCUCCAAGGAACUCGGCAAAAAAGCACUCGUAAGUUAGCGAUAAGAGUUACCCGAUGAAAAUCGGGUUGCAACAAAAGUACCCCUGGCGACUGUUUAUCAAAAACACAGCUCCCUGCGAACUCGUAAGAGGAUGUAUAGGGGGUGACGCCUGACCAAUGCGAGAAGGUUAACGUUGGCGGUGCGUGGAAAUUUAUUUCUGCGUGCUGACUGACCGAAGCCCUCGUCAAUGUCAGCGAUAACUAUAAUCGUUCUAAGGUAGCGCAAUUCCUUGCGUGGUAAGUUCACGCGCGCACGAAAGGCGUAACGACUGGGGGACUGUCUCGGAGAGGAGCCCGGUGAAAAUACAGUACCGGUGAAGAUGCCGGUUACCUGCAGUUAGACGAAAAGACCCCGGAAGCUUUACUAUAGCUUGAUAUUGGGUUUAAGUUUCUGAUGCGUAGCAUAGUGGGGAGGCUUUGAUGUGUUGUUUUAGGAUGACACGGAGCCGUCAGUGAAAUACCCAUCUUCAGUUUCUUAUAUUCUAACCUCGAGGGAAAAAACCGCGGGGAACAGUAUCUGGCGGGUAGUUUAAGUGGGGCACUUCCCUCCUAAAGAGUAAUGGAGGGGCCUAUUAAGGUCGGUUAGCUCCGGAUGGAAAUCGGAGCGAUAGGGUAACGCCAUAAACCGGCUUAACUGCGAGGCGGACAUGCCGAGCAGGUGCGAAAGCAGAGCGUAGUGAUCCGAUCGUCGGCAUUAGAUGCCGCGAAAGCUCAACGGAUAAAAGCUACUCCGGGGAUAACAGGCUAGUACCGCCCGAGCGUCCACAGCGACGGCGGUGUUCGGCACCUCGAUGUCGGCUCACCACAUCCCGGGGGUGGAGAAGCUCCCAAGGGUUUGGCUGUUCGCCAAUUAAAGUGGUACGCGAGCUGGGUUCAAACCGUUUAGAAUCUGAAAAUUCGGAUUUUAAACAGUUUGAACCCCGAGGUAAAACGACAUAUUAACGGCGGCGUAUAUCAAAAAUGAUAUAUGUGAAGCUGACUAUAUCGGUAAAAUCCCAAAUUGAUUUAAGGAUAAUACCGAGGGAACUCCGAUGUUUAUCGGAGGCCCGUAGAGACUAUGCGUCAGCCAUCUUGAAACAAAGAUGAAGAUAUAGUCCGAUCCUCGCAGUAAUGCGAGAAAACUAGAUGCGUGAGACAGGUUGGUCUCCUAUCUACUGCAGGCGUUGAUUCUUGAGGGGAGUCGUUCCUAGUAAGCCCGAAAGGGCAUUGCUACUUUCCGAAGUAAUUCGGAAUGAAAAUUCGGCUAAUAACGGUGGAAUCUUAAGCGUAAUUUCUGGACUGUGGAUAUCAUUUCUACAUCGGUCCGCGGAAAUGGUGUAUAAUUUACUUGAGGACCAGAAAUUAUAAUUAAGACAAUACCGUGGGAAGUCGAUCUAAAAUUGAUUUAGCGUAUAUCGCCGGUUUUCUUGACGGCGAUGGCAGCUUGAUGUUGCAAGUUAAGAAACGUAAGGACGGCAAAUUAAAGAAAAGAUUCAUGUGCACGAUCUGUUUUUAUCAGGAUUCAAGACAUGCGGAACCGCUUAAAUGGAUUCGUAAAAUUCUUGGAAUAGGUUAUAUUUCAAGGCGUAACGACGGAAUUACUGAAUUGCGUAUAAACGGAUUCAAGCAGACGCAUGACAUCAUAAAAGUUCUUAGGCCAUUUAUAAAAUUUAAGAAAAAACAGGCGACCGCAUUACAUGAUGCGUCAAAUCUGUUAAGCCUUAAAAAAUAUAAUCGGCUGACAGACGCGGAGUUGCGAAAGAUUGCGGCAUAUAUCCUAACAAUCCAGAAAGAAAAUUACGCGACUAAAACCAAGAAAACAAAACAAGAUUUAGUUUCAAUUUUAGGUCUGACCCCGUAACGACUGGAGCUCCGAUGUUUAUCGGAGUGAAGAUGGCGCACAAAAACGCCAUAAUACGCCGACCCCUUCGUUUGCUGGGCUUGCCCUGAGUGAGCGCAGCGAGUCGAAGGGUGAAGAUAUAGUCUGCGCCAUUAGUGAUAAUGGAUAACGUGACGAGAGGACCGGAAUGAACGAACCUCUGGUCUACCAGCUGUUCCGCCAGGAGCACCGCUGGGUAGCUAUGUUCGGAGCGGAUAAGCGCUGAAAGCAUCUAAGCGCGAAGCCGACCCCAAGAUUAGGAAUCGUUUGAGGCCCGUGCGAGAUUAGCACGCAUAUAGGCUCUAGGUGUAAGCACAGCAAUGUGUUCAGCCGAGGAGUACUAAUUGGCCGAGUCUUGUCCCG
rnacentral:ncRNA from 1 species